AAACAUUUGGAAGGAGUUUUAUUCAAAAAAUGAAACCCGCUGAGUUUCUGUAAAUUUUGAUAUACAUAAAUACUUUUUAUCAAUGUUUUUUGCAUUAUAGACCUUCAAAAUGUGAACUUUCCCACUGGACACCCUGUAUAUAGCGACUUUGAAAGUCUGUUACGUGAAUACUCUGCUCGCUCCGUGAUCCAGAAUCCCCUAUUGUAUCCUACUUAAGUCCAGUUAUGAUUCGACUGCAUCCAAAGGCUGGACCUAGAAAAAAUACAAAUAAGGGAAGAAAGAAAGGUGCCACAAGAAUAUUGCCGGAUACGCCCAAAAAAUACUCCAUAGUAAAAGAGCAUCGUCAAAGAGAAGAUAGAAAACGUAAGAAGUUAGCCACAGCAGUAAAAAUAAAUCUAAACAAGAACUUCCUAAAGCGAAGAAACAAAGAGGAAACGUUUAGUUUUUGAGAUAAUAAUUCUGAUAGAAGUAAGUCAACAUGUUAAAAUAACCUUUAAAUGGAGUGACGCUAAUUAUUAUGUUGUUUUUGUUACAGUCGUGGAAUAAUUAUCAAUUAACAAUAACCAUGGUGGAAAGGUAAGAAAAAUACUCUUAGACUCUUCUACGGCGCACACGCAGCCACGUGAAUAACAUCAAAAUAAUCACAAUCAUUGUGUCCUUUGUGCUCAAUAAAGUAUAUUUAUCUCUGUUUGCAGAUACCCGAAGAUUUGGACGGGGACUGUUAUCAAAGGGAUUGCAACUGAACCUAUGAGGGUGAGUUAAUUACAAGGGUAAGGGGCUUCCUAUAAUACUGUGCUCCUAUGAGGAAGGAACAGUAUGGUUUAACAACAAUGCAGUGUUGAUGCAUGAGCUUACUAACUCAGCAGCUAAUUGCAAGCAGCCUGUGCACAAAGGGGGGUGUUUGUUUGUGUGUGUAUAAUAUAUAACUGAUGUCAUUAAUAUAAACAGCCUAUGUACGUCCCAUUGCUGGGCACAGGCCUCCCCUCAAACAACCAGAGUCAGUAUGGAGCAUCUGAUGUCAUUACUACGUAAUAAUCGCUUGUUUUCUUGGGCAAACCAGAAAUGAAGAGGAACAGAAACAGUGGUGGUGUCGUGGGAGAUGGUGGAGCCGGCGGCGGAACCCACCAAUUGAAGUCAGCGUCGAAGUGACAGAGGAGACAUUAGGCAGUACACCCGUCCCGCCAUUGGUGGAGCGACUUCGGGACCGCGCCCUCUCACCGAC